CAAAGGCUUGGUCCUGACUUUACUAUCAACUUUAGCCAAACUUACACAUGCAAGUAUCCGCACCCCCGUGAGAAUGCCCCACAGUUCCCUGCCCGGGAACAAGGAGCUGGUAUCAGGCGCAUUUAACUAUAAGCCCACGACACCUUGCUUAGCCACACCCUCAAGGGAACUCAGCAGUGAUAAACAUUAAGCUAUAAGUGAAAACUUGACUUAGUCAAGGCUAAGAGGGCCGGUAAAACUCGUGCCAGCCACNNNNCUCCUUGUUCCGGGGCAGGGAACNUGGGGGNNNNUNUCACGGGGGUGCNGAUCUUGCAUGUGUAGUUGGCUAAAGUUGAUANAAAGUCGGACAAGCCUUUGUGGUUNGGGGGGGGGGGGGGGGCCNUCUUACNUCUUCAGNGUUNGNUUUAAUUAAGCUACGUUAGCUUCNUGCAUCAUUUUAAUAAUGUAAAUAGACACAUUUUUGGGCUCAAAAACGUACUAUCANAGGUUUUCNUGUUUCCGGG
rnacentral:rRNA from 1 species